rnacentral:rRNA from 1 species
GACGAACGCUGGCGGCGUGCUUAACACAUGCAAGUCGAGCGAUGAAGCACCUUCGGGUGUGAAUUAGCGGCGAACGGGUGAGGAACACGUGAGAAAUCUGCCUUCAACUCUGGGAUAACUCCGGGAAACCGGGGCUAAUACCGGAUAUGAGCCUUGAUCGCAUGAUCGGGGCUGGAAAGUUUUUCGGUUGAAGAUGAUCUCGCGGCCUAUCAGCUUGUUGGUGAGGUAAUGGCUCACCAAGGCGACGACGGGUAGCCGGCCUGAGAGGGCGACCGGCCACACUGGGACUGAGACACGGCCCAGACUCCUACGGGAGGCAGCAGUGGGGAAUAUUGGGCAAUGGAGGAAACUCUGACCCAGCGACGCCGCGUGAGGGAUGAAGGCCUUCGGGUUGUAACCGUCUUUCAGUAGGAAGAAGCGAAAGUGACGGUACCUACAGAAGAAGCACCGGCUAACUAUGUGCC